AGUGAACGCUGGCGGCAGGCCUAACACAUGCAAGUCGAGCGGCAGCACGGGUAGCAAUACCUGGUGGCGAGCGGCGGACGGGUGAGGAAUACAUCGGAAUCUGCCUAGUCGUGGGGGAUAACGUAGGGAAACUUACGCUAAUACCGCAUACGACCGAGAGGUGAAAGCGGGGGAUCGCAAGACCUCGCGCGAUUAGAUGAGCCGAUGUCGGAUUAGCUAGUUGGCGGGGUAAGAGCCCACCAAGGCGACGAUCCGUAGCUGGUCUGAGAGGAUGAUCAGCCACACUGGAACUGAGACACGGUCCAGACUCCUACGGGAGGCAGCAGUGGGGAAUAUUGGACAAUGGGCGCAAGCCUGAUCCAGCCAUGCCGCGUGGGUGAAGAAGGCCUUCGGGUUGUAAAGCCCUUUUGUUGGGGACGAAAUUGUACGGGUGAAUAUCCCGUGCCGAUGACGGUACCCAAAGAAUAAGCACCGGCUAACUUCGUGCCAGCCGCCGCCGUAAUAC
rnacentral:rRNA from 1 species